rnacentral:rRNA from 1 species
UUACCGAGUGAGGGCCCUCUGGGUCCAACCUCCCACCCGUGUUUAUUUUACCUUGUUGCUUCGGCGGGCCCGCCUUAACUGGCCGCCGGGGGGCUUACGCCCCCGGGCCCGCGCCCGCCGAAGACACCCUCGAACUCUGUCUGAAGAUUGAAGUCUGAGUGAAAAUAUAAAUUAUUUAAAACUUUCAACAACGGAUCUCUUGGUUCCGGCAUCGAUGAAGAACGCAGCGAAAUGCGAUACGUAAUGUGAAUUGCAAAUUCAGUGAAUCAUCGAGUCUUUGAACGCACAUUGCGCCCCCUGGUAUUCCGGGGGGCAUGCCUGUCCGAGCGUCAUUGCUGCCCUCAAGCCCGGCUUGUGUGUUGGGCCCCGUCCCCCGAUCUCCGGGGGACGGGCCCGAAAGGCAGCGGCGGCACCGCGUCCGGUCCUCGAGCGUAUGGGGCUUUGUCACCCGCUCUGUAGGCCCGGCCGGCGCUUGCCGAUCAACCCAAAUUUUUAUCCAGGUUGACCUCGGAUCAGGUAGGGAUACCCGCUGAACUUAAGCAUAUCA